GGCAGUUUAGCUUAAAGAUAAAGCACUUGAUGCAUAAUCACAGGGAUGUGAGUUCGAGUCUCAUGGCUGGCU
rfam:Octopus bimaculoides Scaffold4298_contig_40, whole genome shotgun sequence.